UGUACAUUUCUUUCAAAGAGAUUGCAUCAACAGAUGGCUGAAGGCGGUACAUAGUCAAAGACAAGGACGGCAACUCUUUUUUUCAGAGCCGGUUAUGCAGAGUGCUGAAGUGACACGGAUGUUGACUACCCUGUGAUGAGUGACUGUUCUCCUCUAGGGUCCUACAUUUAAAUUCAACGUGUCUUUCAGUGUCACACAUUUAUGUCAUGGCAGAUUAUUUCUCCACAACGCUGAACAUUAUGCUAAUUUAAUUUGUUAAAAAAGAGAAGAUACAUGGUAAAAAAAAAAAAAAAACAACAUCCCUGAGGAAUGAGAAUGUAGACAUAGAGCACAGCAGGGGAGGACUACUCCAUGAAAUUUGUGCUGUAUAAAACAGAUUGCAUCAUCAUCUCUGCUGAAAAGGUUAACAUCUCAUUUUGUGGUCUAUGGAAGAAAGAAAUCAGCGGCUUCAAAAGAAAUGAUGGUUUUCGUGGACAGUUCUGAAGAGUGUGUGUGCUGCGGUGUGAAUGCAUCACAAGAUUGUGUCCUGGGGACAGACACCCUGCUGUGUUAGGAUGUUCCGAAAUUUUCAUGGUGAAUCUACGUUUUAACUUUCAAUAAAGUGCAAUGCUCUUAGGCAUGUUUUUUUCCACUGUCUCCGUGAGGCGUCUUUGAAUCGUUUGAUCCGAGCAAGGGAAAGCAUUACAUUUGCGUCACUAGUUUGUA